AUGAAGUCUUAUACACUGGGUUUCCACUGGUCGAUUGUAUAACUUUUUACUGAUCGUCUUUUGGUUACGUGUUGACCUGGGGACGAGUCAGUCAGUGUACGACCUGACGUUCACGCAAGUGAUCAAAGCGCUUUUUUUUCAAUGUUCCUUUCUGGGCGCGAAGUCAGGGAAAUAUUCGCAAGGAUGGAGAACAUUCAACAGAAUCAGUAUGCAAUCAAGCAUGGAAUGGAUUCCAGAUAGGAAUAUAGGAUUCACCUUACACUCAGAAACUGGGGGAUAGGCCUAGUUGUUCAAAAUACACGGCGUUGCUGCAUGGACUUGAAGAGAUAGUUAUGAAUUUAGAAUAUCAUCAAGUGACUUAAUAAGGCACUGUUUUCAGUGGAUGAACCGACAUCAUGCAGUGUGACAGGAAAACGCCCGUGAGACCAAAGAUGGCUUAGAUAAAAGGGAAGACGAUGCAGAAGCCUCUGUACCAGAGAAAAAUCCAGAGAUGGCCCUCAAAGAAGUUAGAAACAAGAUGAGAGACCGUCUCAAGUUGUUUAGGUCUGGAGCCACCUUCCCCCACCCACGAGUCGAAGAAAUAGAUCUUUGAACCAGGUUACCCGUGACAUCAAGAUAAACAAAAUUCAACUUCAGGGACAAUUUGAUAAUACCUGUUUAAAAUUUUUUUUUUAGCUCACCUGGGCCGAAGGUUCAAGUGAGCUUUUCUGAUCAAAAUUUGUUCGUUGUCUGUCGUCGGCGAAAACUUUUCACAUUUUCAUCUUCUCCAGAACCACUGGGUCAAUUUCAACCAAACUAAGUGACACAAAGCACCCUUGGGUGAAAGGCUUUCAAGUUUGUUCAA